UACGAAGGGGGCUAGCGUUGCUCGGAAUCACUGGGCGUAAAGCGCACGUAGGCGGAUUGCUAAGUCAGGGGUGAAAUCCUGGAGCUCAACUCCAGAACUGCCCUUGAUAUUGGCGGUCUCGAGUCCGGGAGAGGUGAGUGGAACUGCGAGUGUAGAGGUGAAAUUCGUAGAUAUUCGCAAGAACACCAGUGGCGAAGGCGGCUCACUGGCCCGGUACUGACGCUGAGGUGCGAAAGCGUGGGGAGCAAACAGG
rnacentral:rRNA from 1 species